UGGGGAAUAUUGGACAAUGGGCGCAAGCCUGAUCCAGCCAUGCCGCGUGUGUGAAGAAGGCCUUCGGGUUGUAAAGCACUUUUGUCCGGAAAGAAAUCCUGUCGGCUAAUACCCGGCGGGGAUGACGGUACCGGAAGAAUAAGCACCGGCUAACUUCGUGCCAGCAGCCGCGGUAAUACGAAGGGUGCAAGCGUUACUCGGAAUUACUGGGCGUAAAGCGUGCGUAGGUGGUUUGUUAAGUCUGAUGUGAAAGCCCUGGGCUCAACCUGGGAACUGCAUUGGAUACUGGCUUACUAGAGUGCGGUAGAGGGUGGCGGAAUUCCCGGUGUAGCAGUGAAAUGCGUAGAUAUCGGGAGGAACAUCCGUGGCGAAGGCGGCCACCUGGACCAGCACUGACACUGAGGCACGAAAGCGUGGGGGAGCAAAACAGGAUUAGAUACCCUGGUAGUCCACGCCCUAAACGAUGCGAACUGGAUGUUGGGAGCAACUAGGCUCUCAGUAUCGAAGCUAACGCGUUAAGUUCGCCGCCUGGGAAGUACGGUCGCAAGACUGAAACUUAAAGGAAUUGACGGGGUCAUAGCUGUUUCC
rnacentral:rRNA from 1 species